rnacentral:rRNA from 1 species
GAUUACCUCAGUAACGGCGAGUGAAGCGGUAACAGCUCAAAUUUGAAAUCUGGCCUCACGGUCCGAGUUGUAAUUUGUAGAGGAUGUUUCGAGCAUGGUCUGGCCUAAGUUCCUUGGAACAGGACGUCAUAGAGGGUGAGAAUCCCGUAUGCGGCCAGGUGCCUACGCUCAUGUGAAGCUCCUUCGACGAGUCGAGUUGUUUGGGAAUGCAGCUCAAAAUGGGUGGUAAAUUUCAUCUAAAGCUAAAUAUUGGCCAGAGACCGAUAGCGCACAAGUAGAGUGAUCGAAAGAUGAAAAGCACUUUGGAAAGAGAGUUAAACAGUACGUGAAAUUGUUGAAAGGGAAGCGCUUGCAACCAGACUUGCGCGCGGCUGAUCAUCCGGUGUUCUCACUGGUGCACUCGGUCGCGCUCAGGCCAGCAUCGGUUUUGGUGGUUGGAUAAAGGUCCUAGGAAUGUGGCUCCUCUCGGGGAGUGUUAUAGCCUAGGGCGCAAUGCAGCCUACCGGGACCGAGGACCGCGCUUCGGCUAGGAUGCUGGCGUAAUGGUUGUAAGCGGCCCGUCUUGAAACACGGACCAAGGAGUCUAACAUCUAUGCGAGUAUUUGGGUGUCAAACCCAUAUGCGUAAUGAAAGUGAACGGAGGUGAGAACCCUUAAGGGUGCAUCAUCGACCGAUCCUGAUGUCUUCGGAUGGAUUUGAGUAAGAGCAUAGCUGUUGGGACCCGAAAGAUGGUGAACUAUGCCUGAAUAGGGUGAAGCCAGAGGAAACUCUGGUGGAGGCUCGCAGCGGUUCUGACGUGCAAUCGAUCGUCAAAUUUGGGUAUAGGGGCGAAAGACUAAUCGAACCAUCUA